GCCGUGCACAUGGAGCUUCCAGAUACCCUG
rnacentral:piRNA from 1 species